ensembl:lncRNA
CGCCGACAUGAAAUGUCGCCGCAGAAGGUGCCGCCAUACUCUGUUCUCCUGAACGUGACGAUGAUGAUGACAGCAAGUCGUGGCGUCGCACACCUGCAACACAUCAUUCUCCUCCGGCCAGACGGCCACCUGCUCCCUUCGCCACAAGCCACAAUUCACACCGAGGGAAGCUGCGAAAGGAAAGGAAGGAACCUUUGCCGGUGGUUGAGUAAAGGUGUGAUCGAGGAGGGGGGGGUCACCUGUGGCGUUGGGCUUAAAGUUGUGAUUGCUGUAGGAAAGGCGUGCACCCCCGAUGUGGACACUGUCUGCUCCGGUGAAGGAAAAGAGGGAAAAACUGAUGAAGCUUGCGGUUCAGUCAGCUGAUCCGAGAACAGCAAGAUUACGUCCAGAUGUGAACAUUAUAAGACAUCAGACAAGAGCAGAGCCGGGGGGAUUACACGGGGCUCACAACAUGCAACAAAGACCAACGCACAGAAGGAGAAGGGAGCGUGGGACGCUAACUGAGAGGGAUACAGAAAGAAGAAUGGACAAAAAUGUGGUUUAAAGAAGUGCAUUCAAAUAUUAAAGGAAUAUUGAAAAAA